rnacentral:rRNA from 1 species
AUUGAACGCUGGCGGCAUGCCUUACACAUGCAAGUCGAACGGUAGCGCGGGGCAACCUGGCGACGAGUGGCGAACGGGUGAGUAAAGCAUCGGAACGUGCCCUGGAAUGGGGGAUAACGUAGCGAAAGUUACGCUAAUACCGCAUAUUCUGUGAGCAGGAAAGCAGGGGAUCGCAAGACCUUGCGUUCUGGGAGCGGCCGAUGUCGGAUUAGCUAGUUGGUGGGGUAAAAGCCUACCAAGGCGACGAUCCGUAGCGGGUCUGAGAGGAUGAUCCGCCACACUGGGACUGAGACACGGCCCAGACUCCUACGGGAGGCAGCAGUGGGGAAUUUUGGACAAUGGGCGGAAGCCUGAUCCAGCCAUGCCGCGUGAGUGAAGAAGGCCU